UGCUCUUCCCAUCUCAUGUCCUUCUACUCAGCCAUCUUGGUUCCUCUCUGGGCUAGAUUCUUCUAUAAGGAUUUCUUAAAAUAUAAAUUAUCUAUUAAAUUAUCUGCUUGGUCUUCAUAACCAACCCAUGAGGUGUGAUCCCAGCUUUGCCCAUGAGUAAAAUAAGCUACUAGAAGUGGACUUGCUCUGGGACUUCCCUGGUG